GACGAACGCUGGCGGCGUGCCUAAUACAUGCAAGUAGAACGCUGAAGGAGGAGCUUGCUUCUCUGGAUGAGUUGCGAACGGGUGAGUAACGCGUAGGUAACCUGCCUGGUAGCGGGGGAUAACUAUUGGAAACGAUAGCUAAUACCGCAUAAGAGUAGAUGUUGCAUGACAUUUGCUUAAAAGUUGCAAUUGCAUCACUACCAGAUGGACCUGCGUUGUAUUAGCUAGUUGGUGGGGUAACGGCUUACCAAGGCGACGAUACAUAGCCGACCUGAGAGGGUGCUCGGCCACACUGGGACUGAGACACGGCCCAGACUCCUACGGGAGGCAGCAGUAGGGAAUCUUCGGCAAUGGACGGAAGUCUGACCGAGCAACGCCGCGUGAGUGAAGAAGGUUGUCGGAUCGUAAAGCUCGGUUGUAAGAGAAGAACGAGUGUGAGAGUGGAAAGUUCACACUGUGACGGUAGCUGACCAGAAAGGGACGGCUAACUACGUG
rnacentral:rRNA from 1 species